CCUACGGGAGGCAGCAGUGAGGAAUAUUGGUCAAUGGACGAGAGUCUGAACCAGCCAAGUAGCGUGAAGGAUGACUGCCCUAUGGGUUGUAAACUUCUUUUAUAUGGGACUAAAAUGUUCCACGUGUGGGAUUCUGUAUGUACCAUAUGAAUAAGGAUCGGCUAACUCCGGGCCAGCAGCCGCGGUAAUACGGAGGAUCCGAGCGUUAUCCGGAUUUAUUGGGUUUAAAGGUGGCGUAGGUGGGUUGUUAAGUCAGUUGUGAAAGUUUGCGGCUCAAGGGUAAAAUUGCAGUUGAAACUGGCAGUCUUGAGUGCAGUAGAGGUGGGCGGAAGUCGUGGUGUAGCGGUGAAAUGCUUAGAUAUCACGAAGAACACCGAUUGCGAAGGCAGCUCAC
rnacentral:rRNA from 1 species